UUGACCUCAAAUCAGGUAGGAC
rnacentral:rRNA from 11 species